GCCUUCGUGGUGUAAUGGUCAGCACACUCGGCACGUAUUCGAGAGGUCCGAGGUUCAAGUCCUGGCGAGGGCA
rfam:Stegodyphus mimosarum contig124867, whole genome shotgun sequence.